AUUCAGGCAGCAUUUCUUUAAAAAAAGGUUCCAUUAAAAGACAACAAUCAAAUAUCGAGAACCGUUGUUCUGUGCUAGGAACAUCCAACAAUCGAGAUGUACAGAAACUGCUCUCAGAAAUUUAUGGAAAUAACUUUUUUUUUAUUUCCCUUAAAUUCUAUAAAAUAUAUAUCAUAUAAACAAUAACACCAGAUGCAAUAAACAGGCAAUUCAUCCUUAAUCAAAAUAACAAAAAUGUAUGAAAUUUUGAGCUGCAGUAUGUGUUUGUUUGGUUAUCAAAAUAAUGAUAUUGUCCUUACAAAUUUGUAAUGCAGAAUCAUUAAAAUAAUAUAAAGUGAUAAAACUCUUCAAAACCAAACAUUUAUGCUACCAGUGAAGUUAUUACCAAACAUUGUUAUAUGUUAUCCAAAUUUUUCCAAUUUAAAAAUAAAAUGUCAAUUAAUGACCUCUAUGGAGUUUGUUCAGGACUCAAUUCAGUCAGUUGAUUAGAGCAAGUGAAAAAAAGAACUGAAUGACUGCUAAUUGUUGUCAUGAAUAUAAUGGAUUUUCAGUACAAUAAAAAAUCCUAUACCCUUAUGUUUUCUCUUCUUAAAAUGUAAUUUUGAAGAGGGGGGUGUUAACCUUGCAACGACAAAAUACAUAAGAUGUAAGUAGUUUCACUGAAAGAUUUUAUUUAUUUGUUAUUGAUAAACAAUCUGAUUAAAUUUCAACUUUCGGUAGCGACAUUAAAAUGACGGAGCGGAUCAAAGAUCUGAUUUUAUUCAGAUUGGUUGAUUUAAAAAUCCUAUUAAAUAUGUUAAAUAAUCAUUUUCUAGAAGAAAAAAAAAACACUGUACAAACCUAGUUUCUUGGUGACUCAUCACAAUUAUCUAGAAAAAUUCAGCAACAAAUUACUAGUAUGCGCUUCUUAUUCCAUCAAUAUAGUAAAUACACUUAUAAAACUGAAAGUUGAUCAUUCUGUAUCUUAAGAAAAAGUAAGAACUUCAUUAAAAAGGAAACUCCAUUAGACCUCUUCUCAAAUGCUGAAUAGUAUUCCAUGCACUUGCACAAUAAACCUGUAGUAAAAUAAUUUGUUUGGGAUUUUGUAAUUUGCAAGAAAAAAAGUAGUGACAUUCACAUUACUCCUUUAUCAAAAGUUGUUAAGUGCCAAAUGGAAGAGCACAAGUAGAAACUAAUUACUGGAUGGUUAUUUGCUGAUUUAUUUUAUUUGAAAUAUGCACCAUUAAUUGUUAUUGAAAAAAAUGAUUUUGCAUUUAAUUGUUGCAUUCUAUAAUCAGCGCAUCGGGUAUGUCAUGCAAACAAAUUAAUAAAAGUUCAAGAGCGUAUUGUACUUCAUUUCUUAAUAUGUACUUUCAUUUCUUAGUGUAUACACUAAGCGGUUUUUCAUGUAAUUAUAUGCGAUUACGAAAAAAUGCCCAGAUGCGGCAGCACGUCAUGAUGAGAAAUCGGCGAUAGAAAUCUCUAGAUGUUUGCGUCACAAUGAAAAAAAACGCGAGGAAAAUUGUUUCGGUACACGUGGUUAUAUUUUUUCCUCUUUGCCUUGCAUUUGAUGUAUGUAUUACAAAAAGGCACAAAUAUUAUUUCUUAUCUUUAAUUGCUUGCAAUAUUCAAAUUGUUACGACUUCAUUUGUCGAUCUAAUUUGAUUUUACCGCGAUUUCAAAGAUCAAUAACUCUGCCAAGUGAAAGCAGACAUGUUUACAUUUCCGGCCAAAAUGAAAGUGCUUGCGAAAUGUCACGAAAUGAGCCAAACCUCCACAUCGAUAUGUAUACCACCAGAAAUUGCUCUUUAUCAAGAUCAUGAAUUCUUAGAAGAUAUUGAACGUGUUGAUGAAUUAUAUUUCUUCAAACUUAUCGCUUCAAAUAUAGACGCGCGCGACAAACAGUUUUACGAUUUAUCCAGUGACAGCGAGACACAGGCAAGUAAUGAUGACAUAUUAAAUUAUGAUUAUGAUUUCGAAUAUGAAAAUAACAACAAUGAUGGAGAUGUUUAUGUACAACAUGAAUUUAAUGAUACGGACACUAAGGGAUACAUAAUCCGAUCGAAAUUUCAAAAUGACGCUUGCAGUUGUAAGGAGUUUUAUGGAAUUGCAUGUAGAACAAAAAUUGACUUUGAAUCAGCAUGUGAAUUCCGUGAUCACUGUCUUCAAUGUACUAGAGAGGAACUUGCCACUAUCAUUAAGGCAGAGUUAUUUGCACACAGACGGUAUGGUUCUGUAACACAGGCCAAUAAACACAGAGAGAAAAACAGAGAAAUACAAUUUCAAGAACAUUUCUUUAAUGGCCACAGAGUGUGUCGUACAACGUUUUGUUUUGUACAUGCUGUUGAGAGGAAGAAGCUACAUAAACUUGCCAGAUAUCUGGAUACAGAUGGAUUUUUACCAAGAAAACAUGGUAACAGUGGUAAAGCACCGCAAUGAAGCUUAACCAUGAAGGAUCGGGAGCGGAUUAAAACAUUCCUUACCAAGUAUGCUAGUCACCAUGCACUGUCAUUACCAGCUCGAUUGCCAAACUAUAAAUCAGAGAAAAUUCUUCUUCCUUCAGACACAACAACUGCUGAUAUGCAUGCUCUAUAUGAGAGACUAGCAAAAAAAAUGAGCUUCAGAAGUAUACAUCUAAGGACUUUCCAGAGAACAUCGCAUGAGUUAUGUCCAUACAUUACUAUUAUGAAACCAUGCAUUGAUCUCUGUCAACUUUGUCAAGAUUUUUCCCAUAAAUUUUCUAUGGUUUCAAACAUGAAUGACGAGGAAAAAAAGAAAUCCUGUCCCAGUACACUCAACAUGUAUCAGGGGCAAAACAACAAAGGGACUACUACAGACAACAAUGCACACAUAAAGAUACAUUAUUUUCCUUAUCAGAUGAAUCGAAACAGACAGGAAGGUAAAUGUUUUAAUAGAUUGAUGAAGCUGAGAACACUGGGAAGGGUGCAAAUUCUAUCAUUAGUAUGGCUCACCACUUCUUUCAGCACCAUGAUCAUGAAGAGAAAAUAGCCUCCAUACAUUUUGACAAUUGCAAUGAACAAAACAAAAACAAUUGUGUAUUAUGGUAUGGACUAUGGAUAGUUCUUGUUGGACUCCAUAUGAUUGUGGAAUAUUCCAUGAUGGUCGCAGGACACACCACGUUUGAUCCGGACUGGCAUUUCGGAGUCUGGAAAUUGAAGUGGCGUUCAUCCAUUGCUGAAACAAUGACUGAGAUUGCAGAAACAGUCCGUCAUUCAUCUCGGCGAGGGCAUAACAUUCCUCAGCUUGUGUCCGAUCCACAAAAACCUGUGCAAUUUAGAGAUUGGAAGUCAUACCUACAGCGCUAUCUUAGGCCUAUGAAAAAAAUUAGAGGUUAUCAUAAUUUCUAUGUGCAUGCUGAGACUCCUGGUGUUGUGGAAUGUAAGGAGCUUUGCAAUUUUGUCCCUGUAUGUGUGAAUUUCUUGAAAGAUUGGAACAUCCUUCCCUCCAUAGAUGAUCCUCUGUCCCAAGAGAUUCUAGCACCUGGUCUUGAGCCUAGGAGACGAUGGUCUCUAUUUGAGGAAAUUCGUGAACAUUGUCGGUCCCCUACUGCGAAAGACAUAUCAUGUCCCAAACCAGUGGUACCUAAAAGGAGGCGACAGUCGAUUCUUCCGCUGCCACAUCACACAUGGGUAAAAGGAAAUGUUUACUCCUUAGAUGAUUUAUGAUACAUGUAAUGUGUGAUAUAAACAGUAUAUAUUGUUAAUGAAAGUGCAUUUUAAUGCAAGGAUGUAUUUAAUUGUUGAUAGUAAUUAUUUAUUUUACAUAGUUGUCUAUUUUUGCGAUGGUUGUCUUGCAGUUGAUACUUGUACCGAUUUGUAAUUUUUUUUUUUUUUGCUGCGCUCAUUUUUACUGGAACAUGAUAUCUUGUCUACAUGUAAACAUCUUGUAGGAAUGACUAUAUAAUUUCAAUUUACAUGUAACUUGCAUGUAAUUCUUAUUCCAAUGUUCAUUGUUUAUUUGUUUUAAACAUUCAUUGCUUGUUUUUGUGCAAAUAAUGUUUCUUCUUAUCUUAUUAUUUCAAAUGAAAACUGCAGUUGU